CUCUGCCUCCACGGGGCCCCCAUCCCCACCCCCACCCCCGCCUUGGAUGGAUGGUGGGGUGAAUGGAUCGGUGCUGUAUCAGUUGACGCCCUUUUCGCUUCGAAUGGUAGAAAUACUGACAAGUGUGGUCAUAUGACCUUACGGGGGCUUGUUUCUCUCCCCUGACAGGAAGCCGGGAAGCGGGAAGAUUUCUGUUAGUUCAGCAGCCCAGGGGUGUCAGCCAGCAUCUCUGUAACCAGAGGGGCCUUUCCCUCAUGGUCACAGGGGGUUGCCAUAGCUCCAGAUGUUACAUCCAUGUUCCGGACUGAACAGAGCAUUCCAGGAAGCUUGACAGCAGCCCAGAACCCCCGCCCAGUCCACAAACCGCAGUGUUGGGGGAGAGAGUGUGUGCAUGCCCGUGUGCAGGGGGAGGGGCAAGAGGAGAGGGAGAGAGAAUCCUGAGCAGACUUCCCUCUCAGCGCAGAGCCUGAAGCAGGGGCUGAUCUCACCACCCUGAGGUCAAGACCUAAGCAGAAAUGCUGAGUCGGACUGACUGACUGAGCCAGCCAGAGAUAGAGACAGCCAGCGAGAGACGGGACACAAGCAGGGGGAGUGGGAGAGGAAGAAGC